GCGAGCAAUUGUGUUGGUGAAGAGGUGGUUGGCCGCAGGAUAAAGGUUUUGUGGCCACUGGAUCAGAUAUUUUACGAAGGGAAAAUUACAUCUUUCGACAAUUCGAAUAAAACACACCAGGUUGACUACGAUGACGGUGACCAUGAAAAAUUAGACCUUAGUAAGGAAUGCUGGCUGCUGAUAGGUGACGACGGUUUGUCCACUCAUGUCGGAGUUGCAUUAUUAUCAAUAUUUUUAUAAUUUUUAGAAUUGGUUGAAAUAUUUAACGCGUCUAUUUGUGUUUCCGUAUUUAAUAGGAUCAGAAGAUUGAUGCAAAUCCAGGUUCCUCAGCAGAGAUAUUGACUGAUCAUGGAACAAAGUCUUCUCGUAUGUCGAAAGGGAAAGAGAAGGUGAGUUCCUAGUGUAAAUAGUUUGAUCGUAAAUUCGAUAAUUCAAAUUGUUCGCUAGAACUUUUCUGCGCAU